rnacentral:rRNA from 1 species
CUGCGUGGAAGGGCCAUCGCUCAACGGAUAAAAGCUACCCUGGGGAUAACAGGCUUAUCUCCCCCAAGAGUCCACAUCGACGGGGAGGUUUGGCACCUCGAUGUCGGCUCAUCACAUCCUGGGGCUGUAGUAGGUCCCAAGGGUUGGGCUGUUCGCCCAUUAAAGGGGUACGCGAGCUGGGUUCAGAACGUCGUGAGACAGUUCGGUCCCUAUCCGUCGCAGGCGUAGGAAAUUUGAGAAGACCUGUCCUUAGUACGAGAGGACCGGGAUGGACGUACCUCUGGUGUACCAGU